ensembl:snoRNA SNORA70 Small nucleolar RNA SNORA70
CUGCAGCCAAUUAAGCCGACUGAGUUCCUUUCCUCAUGGGGGCCCAGUGUGCAAUGGCUGCAAACAGCAGCUUCCCUGGUAGUGAUGCAGCCUGUUUGUUGUAUGGGUUGCUCUAAAGGAUCUUGGAGACAGUC